rnacentral:misc_RNA from 1 species
ACAUUGGAAUUAGUAAAUCACUGUUAAAAGUUAAAAUGGUAGAGAGUUGAUAACAGAAGCACGCUUUUUUGAGUUAUCAAACUGGAUUUCCUCCAAACCCAGUAGGACGUAUUAUUAAGUGAUAUUUACUAAAUAUUUAUUCGUUAAUGAACUUUCUUCUGAUGCAAAAUGGCGGACAGUCUAGCAGAAAUGUACGAAAAGUACAAUAUUUUGUCGGAUGCUAAGGAAAAUAUUUCAAAGCAUUCUAAAGAAUAUCUUCAGUGCAUCGAACGUGCAAAAGGAAGUGAUAAGGAAAAACAAUUAGCAGCACAGAUAAUAUCGAAAUUUUUUAAACAUUUCCCGUCUCUGCAGGACCAGGCAAUAGAAGCUAUUUAUAUUCUAUGUGAAGAUGAUGACAGUUUGAUCCAGAUUUGUACCAUAAAAAUAUUACAUGUAAUAUGUAAGGAUGCUAAAGAACAUAUUCCGAAAAUAGUCAACAUUUUAGCGCAGUUAUUGCAGGCAGAGGAUAAAGUGUCUAAUGCAGCGAGCAGCUCUUUGUUACAAGUAUUCAAAGAGGAUCCCCAUACUACAGUCAAAGUAAUGCUUGAUUUCAUAAACAAUCCUUGCAUAAGUAGCAGUACAGAAGACAUCCCUGCCACAGAGAAAUCUGUGGAGUUCCUAUAUAAAAAACUUGUUAAGCUCGAUGAGAAAUUAACUCCAGAAAUAAAUGACUUAUUAUUGGAAGAGGGCAAAAAGAUCAUUUUGGAUUCCAAUGCAACAGAAUUUUUAACGGUAUUACCCUUCUUAGCCUCCUCAAAAUUAACUAAAACGAUUGCUGGUCAACAAGAGUUAGUCAACUUGAUCGCAGAAAGGGCAGAAAUUGACAAAGAUUUCGAUCCACUUGAUGAAGGGAGUCAAAAUGCCGAUAAGAUAAUGAUGUGUGUUGAACAUGCUCUACCAUUUUUCAGUGCUAAUGUGGAAUCAACGCGAUUCGUGAAAUUUUACUGUGAUCAGAUACUGGGACAUUGGAAGGAAAUGGGUACCUUGAAAGAUGGCAGUAUUAUGCAGUACCAGUUUUUGAAACAACUUGCUGAGCUUAGUACACACUGUGGGAAAUUGGAAACUCCCUCUUUUUAUGUUGUUCAGAUUUUUGAUAAACUGAAGCUCUACAUGCCCCUUCCUCCUGAAGACUGCGACAUAGAUAAAAUGCCUAACUUAGAUUUCACGUCUGUGGAGUGUCUGUUAUAUUCGUUUCAUCGAAUAGCGAGGCAGUGUCCUGAUUUUCUAACUUCUGACCCGAUGGUGCUUAAAGACUUUAGAUCGAGACUCAACUAUUUCUCUCGUGGGGUGGGUGGCUGUAAAAAAUCCUUGGAGAAAAUUCAAAUCAAGAACAAGGAUGACGAAAAAAUCAAAAUUGCUCCCGCUGUCCUCGAUAACAUUACUACAUUGAUAAAAGAUUUGUUCUACACAACACCCGUCUAUAAGUGCAACAUUCACCUGUCCUUCAAAUCGUUAGAAAAAAAAAUCAAGUUAUCACCUGAAAACCCACAAGCACCUCAAAAACGACAUGCACCCAUUCAUUUCGAAUCCAGUAACGGAUCAACGAACAAACAGAUUCGUUCCAAUAAAGGAGCAGAAAACAAAUUGUAUACACCGCCUAGUGGAAAAUUCAGCAGUAACUUUCAGAGUUUUGAUCGUGUAAAUCGAGGAAGAGGGCGAGGUGGAAGGGGAACAAGGGGAAGCAGAGGCUCUUCCAGGUCCUGGCGAAACUGAUAUUAAUUUCUUACGUAUUCAGACUGUCAGUUUUUCAUAGAUCUGGAUUUAUAUAGGGCUAUUCAAAUUCAAGUGUGCAUCGGGAUCUUUUGAACCGUAAGAGAUAGAGGGUUAAAUUGUACCCACUGAAUGUUAUCAAUGUUGAUUGCGAGAGUAUAUAUGAUAAAACGGAAAAUGGAAAUUCUUUUGUGACCUCAUGCGAAAGCCAAUCAGUAAUGAAUACAGAUUCAAAAAAAAAUGUUGAUGUUGACUUGAUCCUAGUGGUGGAUUUCUUUAUACUAAUUUGAAGCUGAUACAAAGUUUCUCAGAGGAAAUGUUGCAUAUUCGUGAAACCAAUAAUAAAAAAUCUGACAAGUCCUCAGUCAGGCGCAUUUUGUACGAAAAUUCUACUUGCAUAUUCUGAUAGUAAUUUUCUAAGGCAAAGUAUUAUUAGAUUUCCGGUAAUGAAAAAGAUAUAGCCAUUAACUAAAAAACCAUAGUCGAUUUUCGUUCGAUAGUACUCCCUAAAUAGAUAACUUUGUUCCAUUUUAACUUACUGUCUCUAUCUCUUACUGUUUAUGAGAUUCUCAUGGACAGAUACAUGAAUUUUAGUAUCCCUGAAUAUGAAACAGAAUAUACUAAAACUGUCCUCGGCAUUUGUAAAUAUUUUUGAAGCUGCAGCAGAUUGUGUACAUCAAGAUCCAGUUUCCAAAUAAUCACAAUUUUCUAGAAAUCAAAUUUUUUCAGACCAAUCUGAAUUCCUUUGGUAAUUUGAAAACAAAUGAAGUAGUUUGUGUAUUUCACUUUUUUGUUAAAUGUAUUUUUUAGUUGAAAAAUGUUUUUUUUGCUUUGCAUGGGAUUGAAUCAAUGAAUCCAUCCGUGGAUUCUCGAAUUGAAAAUUUAUUUAUAUUUUUCAUAUAAUUUUGUGUGCUUGUCCUUCAGAAGUACCUAAAAACUUAGUGGAAUACAACUUCCGUUAGAAAUUUGAGGCAAAGAAAUAAAAUUAUUAAAAUUUUCGAAUGAAAGUUUUAUAUAGAUAUCAAUGCACUGGACUUCUUUAAUUAUUCUCCAAUAUCAAAUAUCCUCCUAAGAAAACAGUACUCUUCAACUGAGUAUUUAUACAAAAUGGGGAUGGGUGAUUUGAUCAAUUUUUUGACAUUACUUUUCACAUAGCUUCUAAAACAGUCGGUAUGGGUAAUUUGCCGACUGUAUAUACCGUACAAUAUAUACAGUCCUUAUAUUUUUCAAUGUACUUUUCUGGAUGUAUUUCAAUAUGAAAAACAAUAUAUGACAGGUGCAUUGACAUCUUAAAUUUUUAUGCUGUCAUGAUUUUUUUUUUUUUCAGAAAUAUGUGUACUUGGUAUACCAUUUUUCAUUUUUAUAAUAUUCUUAACAACAAAAUAUAGACAUAUUCAGUGUUUUGAGAGGUAGAAAAAUUAAUUAAUAAAAAUAACUUGUUACUUAACUUCCUUUAGGCAGUUUGCCGACAGGAGCAAAUUUUCAGGAUAAGUGUCAUUAAGAUUUUUUUGCAUUGGUAAAAUUAAAUACGAUAACUUAUUGAUGAGUUGGAGUUUUUUUUAGAGAAAAAUAUAUUGGUGUUAUCAGGAUGAACUAGAAGUUUUUUUUGUCUUGAAAACAGGUCAAAAAAAUUCAAAAUAUUUAAUUCUUAUAUAACUUGAUAAUAAUUAUAUCAAUAAAAAAGGGGUUUAAGUCAAAACCUAGAUGACGGUACAAAAAAAGUGUGGUGCGAAAUGAAAUGAAGUGGUUGAAUAUAAGUGGCCGAUACUUGAUGAUAAUCCAUAUCAAAGCUAAUUAAUACAGUUUAUUGUAUGAUGACCUAUAAAGGGUUUUAGAAAAAUUGCGACACAUGUUUCGAUAUACAAUAGCUAAUAGCGAAACACGUGUCACGGUUUUUAUAAAAACCUUUAUAGUGAAAAUCAUACAAUGAACUGUAUUAAUUAGUUUUGAAAUGAAGUGAAUUCUAUUCAAUAUCUGACUUGCUUAACUGGUUUGAGACAUACUUAAUAUUAAUUUGAAGUAGGAGAUGUACAGGAAUUUUAGUGAAACUUUAUUUUGCAAAUUCUACCUUGUUAAAUUCUCGUUGAAACAGUUUUAUUUCAUUAUGAGAAUGUAUAUAAUGGUUUUUCAAUCUCUCAAUAUGAUUAUGAAAAACAUUGUAAGCUUCACAAGAUCAUUUAUUGAAAAAUGAUUAUAAAUUGUAAAACUCGAGUGAGCUUGUUACUAAUUCACCAUAGAUUUUCCUACAGUCAACUUUACUUUCAUAAAGUGAAACUAUUACUGAAGGAAUCGAUGGUUUCUGUAGUUAUGGAUGGAAGGAUAUCAGAAUUUGUAUUCUAGUUUUAAAUAAAAAUGUAUCUCAGUAA